UAACACGUGGGUAACCUGCCUUAUAGUGGGGGAUAGCCUUUCGAAAGGAAGAUUAAUACCGCAUAAGAUUGUAGUAUCGCAUGAUAUAGCAAUUAAAGAAGCAAUUCGCUAUAAGAUGGACCCGCGUCGCAUUAGCUAGUUGGUGAGGUAAUGGCUCACCAAGGCGACGAUGCGUAGCCGACCUGAGAGGGUGAUCGGCCACAUUGGGACUGAGACACGGCCCAGACUCCUACGGGAGGCAGCAUG
rnacentral:rRNA from 1 species